GGGGCUGUAGCUCAGUGGUAAAGCCCCCGCCUCGCACGUGGGAGGCACUAGGUUGGAACCUCAGCACCA
rnacentral:tRNA from 1 species